rnacentral:rRNA from 1 species
AUUGAACGCCGGCGGCAGGCUUAACACAUGCAAGUCGAGCGGGGAAAGGUAGCUUGCUACCUAACCUAGCGGCGGACGGGUGAGUAAUGCUUAGGAAUCUGCCUAUUAGUGGGGGACAACAUCUCGAAAGGGAUGCUAAUACCGCAUACGUCCUACGGGAGAAAGCAGGGGACCUUCGGGCCUUGCGCUAAUAGAUGAGCCUAAGUCGGAUUAGCUAGUUGGUGGGGUAAAGGCCUACCAAGGCGACGAUCUGUAGCGGGUCUGAGAGGAUGAUCCGCCACACUGGGACUGAGACACGGCCCAGACUCCUACGGGAGGCAGCAGUGGGGAAUAUUGGACAAUGGGGGGAACCCUGAUCCAGCCAUGCCGCGUGUGUGAAGAAGGCCUUUUGGUUGUAAAGCACUUUAAGCGAGGAGGAGGCUACCGAGAUUAAUACUCUUGGAUAGUGGACGUUACUCGCAGAAUAAGCACCGGCUAACUCUGUG